rnacentral:rRNA from 1 species
AGAGUUUGAUCAUGGCUCAGGACGAACGCUGACGGUGUGCUUUAGGCAUGCAAGUCGAACGAGAAAGCCCUUCGGGGUGAGUAAAGUGGCGAACGGGUGAGUAACACGUGGGCAACCUGCCCCUCGCAGGGGGACAACCGGAGGAAACUCCGGCUAAUACCCCGUACGCUUGCUGGAUCGCAUGGUCCGGCAAGGAAAGGUAGCUUCGGCCAUCCGGCGAGGGAUGGGCCCGCGGUGCAUUAGCUAGUUGGUGGGUAACGGCCCACCAAGGCGACGAUGCGUAGCUGGUCUGAGAGGAUGAUCAGCCACACUGGGACUGAGACACGGCCCAGACUCCUACGGGAGGCAGCAGCCAGGAAUCUUGGGCAAUGGGCGAAAGCCUGACCCAGCAACACCGUGUGGGUGAUGAAGGCCUUCGGGUCGUAAAGCCCUGUUGAUAGGGACGAAGGGCGAAGGGUUAAUAGCCCGGAGCUUGACGGUACCUUUCGAGGAAGCCCCGGCUAACUACGUGCCAGCAGCCGCGGUAAUACGUAGGGGGCGAGCGUUGUCCGGAAUUAUUGGGCGUAAAGAGCGUGUAGGCGGUUCGGUAAGUCUGUCGUGAAAUCCUGGGGCUCAACCCUGGGCGUGCGAUGGAUACUGCCGGGCUAGAGGGUGGUAGAGGCGAGUGGAAUUCCCGGUGUAGCGGUGAAAUGCGCAGAUAUCGGGAGGAACACCAGUAGCGAAGGCGGCUCGCUGGGCCACACCUGACGCUGAGACGCGAAAGCUAGGGGAGCGAACAGGAUUAGAUACCCUGGUAGUCC